GCUUGCUACUCUAGACCUAGCGGCGGACGGGUGAGUAAUGCUUAGGAAUCUGCCUAUUAGUGGGGGACAACAUCUCGAAAGGGAUGCUAAUACCGCAUACGUCCUACGGGAGAAAGCAGGGGACCUUCGGGCCUUGCGCUAAUAGAUGAGCCUAAGUCGGAUUAGCUAGUUGGUGGGGUAAAGGCCUACCAAGGCGACGAUCUGUAGCGGGUCUGAGAGGAUGAUCCGCCACACUGGGACUGAGACACGGCCCAGACUCCUACGGGAGGCAGCAGUGGGGAAUAUUGGACAAUGGGGGGAACCCUGAUCCAGCCAUGCCGCGUGUGUGAAGAAGGCCUUUUGGUUGUAAAGCACUUUAAGCGAGGAGGAGGCUACCGAGAUUAAUACUCUUGGAUAGUGGACGUUACUCGCAGAAUAAGCACCGGCUAACUCUGUGCCAGCAGCCGCGGUAAUACAGAGGGUGCAAGCGUUAAUCGGAUUUACUGGGCGUAAAGCGCGCGUAGGUGGCCAAUUAAGUCAAAUGUGAAAUCCCCGAGCUUAACUUGGGAAUUGCAUUCGAUACUGGUUGGCUAGAGUAUGGGAGAGGAUGGUAGAAUUCCUGGGAAA
rnacentral:rRNA from 1 species